rnacentral:rRNA from 1 species
GACGAACGCUGGCGGCGUGCUUAACACAUGCAAGUCGAACGGAAAGGCCCUGCUUUUGUGGGUUGCUCGAGUGGCGAACGGGUGAGUAACACGUGAGUAACCUGCCCUUGACUUUGGGGUAACUUCAGGAAACUGGGGCUAAUACCGGAUAGGAGCUCCCGCUGCACGGUGGGGGAUGGAAAGUUUCGGCGGUUGGGGAUGGACUAGCUGCUUAUCCGCUUGUUGGUGGGGUAGUGGCUUACCAAGGCUUUGACGGGUACGCGGCCUUGGAGGGUGACCGGCCACAUUGGGACUGCGAUACGGCCCAGACUGCUACGGGAGGCAGCAGUGGGGAAUAUUGCACAAUGGGCGGAAGCCUGAUGCAGCAACGCCGAGUGCGGGAUGACGGCCUUCGGGUUGUAAACCGCUUUCGCCUGUGACGAAGCGUGAGUGACGGUAAUGGGUAAAGAAGCCACGGCUAACUACGUG